rnacentral:rRNA from 1 species
AAGUCGUAACAAGGUUUCCGUUGGUGAACCAGCGGAAGGAUCAUUACAGAGAUCAUGCCCUCGCGGGUAGACCUCCCACCCUGUGUUAUUUACCUUUGUUGCCUCGGCAGGCCGCCCCUUGGGGCCCUUGGCUACGGCUGAGGAGCGCCUGCCAGAAGACCCCAACCCUGUGUUUACCUGUCGUCUGAGCACUAUCUAAUACGAUAAAACUUUCAACAACGGAUCUCUUGGUUCUGGCAUCGAUGAAGAACGCAGCGAAAUGCGAUAAGUAAUGUGAAUUGCAGAAUUCAGUGAAUCAUCGAAUCUUUGAACGCACAUUGCGCCCCUCGGCAUUCCGGGGGGCAUGCCUGUCCGAGCGUCAUUUCAACCCUCAAGCUUCGCUUGGUCUUGGGCCCUGCCGGCAGCGGCUGGCCCUAAAAGCAGUGGCGGUGCCCGUCGAGCUCUACGCGUAGUAAUCAACCCCUCGCUUCUGAGCCGCGGCGGACGCCUGCCAGCAACCCCCCAAUUUCUAUGGUUGACCUCGGAUCAGGUAGGGAUACCCGCUGAACUUAAGCAUAUCAAUAAGCGGAGGAAAAGAAACCAACCGGGAUUACCUCAGUAACGGCGAGUGAAGCGGUAACAGCUCAAAUUUGAAAUCUGGCUCUUGCAGGGCCGAGUUGUAAUUUGCAGAAGAUGCUUCGGGCGUGGCUCCGGUCUAAGUUCCUUGGAACAGGACGUCGUAGAGGGUGAGAAUCCCGUAUGUGACUGGCUGCCGCCGCCCGUGUGAAGCUCUUUCGACGAGUCGAGUUGUUUGGGAAUGCAGCUCAAAAUGGGUGGUAAAUUUCAUCUAAAGCUAAAUAUUGGCCAGAGACCGAUAGCGCACAAGUAGAGUGAUCGAAAGAUGAAAAGCACUUUGGAAAGAGAGUUAAACAGUACGUGAAAUUGUUGAAAGGGAAGCGCUUGCAAUCAGACUUGCGCGCUGCCGAUCAUCCGGGGUUCUCUCCGGUGCACUCGGUUGCGCUCAGGCCAGCAUCGGUUUAGGUGGCUGGACAAAGGCCGCGGGAAUGUAGCUCCUCUCGGGGAGUGUUAUAGCCUGCGGCGCAAUGCAGCCUACCUGGACCGAGGACCGCGCUUCGGCUAGGAUGCUGGCGUAAUGGUUGUAAGCGAC